rnacentral:rRNA from 1 species
GUUGUGUAGCAAUACAUGACCUAGAGUGUCGUAAGGGUGCGUAACACGUAUGCAAUCUGCCCGGAACUGGAGGAUAGCUCGCCGAAAGGCGAAUUAACACUCCAUAGGAUAGUAGGGUGGCAUCACUCAGCUAUUAAAACCACGGUGGUUUCGGAUGAGCAUGCGGAUGAUUAGCUAGUUGGUGAGGUAACGGCUCACCAAGGCGAUGAUCAAUAGGGGAACUGAGAGGUUGAUCCCCCACACUGGCACUGAGAUACGGGCCAGACUCCUACGGGAGGCAGCAGUAGGGAAUAUUGGACAAUGGUUGCAAGACUGAUCCAGCCAUGCCGCGUGCAGGAAGAAGGCUUUCUGAGUUGUAAACUGCUUUUGCCAGGGGAUAAAAAGUCCCUGCGGGGAAAAUUGAAGGUACCUGGUGAAUAAGCCACGGCUAACUACGUGCCAGCAGCCGCGGUAAUACGUAGGUGGCAAGCGUUGUCCGGAUUUAUUGGGUUUAAAGGGUGCGUAGGCGGUGUCCUAAGUCAGUUGUGAAAUACGGCAGCUUAACUGUCGAGGUGCAAUUGAUACUGGGACACUUGAGUACUGAUGAGGUAAGCGGAAUGGACGGUGUAGCGGUGAAAUGCUUAGAUAUCGUCCAGAACACCGAUAGCGAAGGCAGCUUACUAAGGAGUAACUGACGCUGAGGCACGAAAGUGUGGGGAUCAAACAGGAUUAGAUACCCUGGUAGUCCACACUGUAAACGAUGAUCACUCGAUGUUGGCGAUACACGGCCAGCGUCUUAGCAAAAGCGAUAAGUGAUCCACCUGGGGAGUACGCCGGCAACGGUGAAACUC